rnacentral:rRNA from 1 species
ACGAACGCUGGCGGCAUGCCUAACACAUGCAAGUCGAACGAGACCUUCGGGUCUAGUGGCGCACGGGUGCGUAACGCGUGGGAACCUGCCCUUAGGUUCGGAAUAACUCCCCGAAAGGGGUGCUAAUACCGGAUAAUGUCUUCGGACCAAAGAUUUAUCGCCUUUGGAUGGGCCCGCGUUGGAUUAGCUAGUUGGUAGGGUAAAAGCCUACCAAGGCGACGAUCCAUAGCUGGUCUGAGAGGAUGAUCAGCCACACUGGGACUGAGACACGGCCCAGACUCCUACGGGAGGCAGCAGUGGGGAAUAUUGGACAAUGGGCGAAAGCCUGAUGCAGCAAUGCCGCGUGAGUGAUGAAGGCCUUAGGGUUGUAAAGCUCUUUUACCCGGGAUGAUAAUGACAGUACCGGGAGAAUAAGCUCCGGCUAACUCCGUG